GACGAACGCUGGCGGCGUGCCUAAUACAUGCAAGUUGAGCGCUGAAGGUUGGUACUUGUACCGACUGGAUGAGCAGCGCACGGGUGAGUAACGCGUGGGGAAUCUGCCUUUGAGCGGGGGACAACAUUUGGAAACGAAUGCUAAUACCGCAUAAAAACUUUAAACACAAGUUUUAAGUUUGAAAGAUGCAAUUGCAUCACUCAAAGAUGAUCCCGCGUUGUAUUAGCUAGUUGGUGAGGUAAAGGCUCACCAAGGCGAUGUUACAUAGCCGACCUGAGAGGGUGAUCGGCCACAUUGGGACUGAGACACGGCCCAAACUCCUACGGGAGGCAGCAGUAGGGAAUCUUCGGGCAUGGGCGAAAGUCUGACCGAGCAACGCCGCGGGAGUGAAGAAGGUUGUCGGAUCGUAAAACUCGGUUGGUAGGGAAGAACGUGGGUGAGAGUGGAAAGCUCAUCAAGUGACGGUAACUACCCAGAAAGGGACGGCUAACUACGUG
rnacentral:rRNA from 1 species